GAUGAACGCUGGCGGCGUGCCUAAUACAUGCCAGUCGAGCGAACAGACGAGGAGCUUGCUCCUCUGACGUUAGCGGCGGACGGGUGAGUAACACGUGGAUAACCUACCUAUAAGACUGGGAUAACUUCGGGAAACCGGAGUUAAUACCGGAUAAUAUAUUGAACCGCAUGGUUCAAUAGUGAAAGACGGUUUUGCUGUCACUUAUAGAUGGAUCCGCGCCGCAUUAGCUAGUUGGUAAGGUAACGGCUUACCAAGGCAACGAUGCGUAGCCGACCUGAGAGGGUGAUCGGCCACACUGGAACUGAGACACGGUCCAGACUCCUACGGGAGGCAGCAGUAGGGAAUCUUCCGCAAUGGGCGAAAGCCUGACGGAGCAACGCCGCGUGAGUGAUGAAGGUCUUCGGAUCGUAAAACUCUGUUAUUAGGGAAGAACAAAUGUGUAAGUAACUAUGCACGUCUUGACGGUACCUAAUCAGAAAGCCACGGCUAACUACGUG
rnacentral:rRNA from 1 species